UGAUCUGACAGUGGGCAAAGAGACACCUUGAUGGUGAUGUUCUUAUAUCAGUCGGAGCAGAGCAGACAGCAGUCCGGUGUUUGUCCUACCUUGAUGCCUGGCUUGGUGGCCAAAGCUGUUUUAUGCCUAGGACUCAUAA